rnacentral:rRNA from 1 species
UACAGAGGUCUCAAGCGUUUGUUCGGAUUCAUUGGGCGUAAAGGGUGCGUAGGCGGCGCGGUAAGUCGGGUGUGAAAUCUCGGAGCUUAACUCCGAAACUGACAUUCGAUACUGCCGUGCUUGAGGACUGGAGAGGAGACUGGAAUUCCUGGUGUAGCGGUGAAAUGCGCAGAUAUCAGGAGGAACACCGGUGGCGAAGGCGGGUCUCUGGGGCCGAAUGACUGACGCUGAGGAGCGAAAGCAUGGGUAGCGAACAGG